CAGUGCAAUCGAUUUGACACUUUGACAGUAAGUUGUAAACAUAGGGGUCAUCCCGAACAAUGAACUCUUUCAUUAAAUACAGAAACAUCAAUGAUAUUAUUAUUAAAAUUAAGUAAAACCUCAUUAAAAUAUGUCGAGACACCUCUAUGGGCCCGCCAUGUUCGUAACGGCGGGGCUUCUCGUGUAAAUAUAUAGAUAUCUAUGCGUGUGUAUGCUGGGCGUGGGAUGCCGCAUUUAAAUCUAUUUUUGGAGUUAAAGUGAAGUGAAAAGUGUAAGAACUGUAGUGUAAGUGCAAGUGCUAGUGUCCUGAAGUGUUUUAGAGCCGUUAGUGAUAAGUUACAGUGUAGUUCUAACUGAAAAUAUGAGAUAGUAAUUAAGUGCACUUGUGCGUGAGUGUCAGCGCGAUGCGUGCGGCGGGCGCGCGGCGCUCCGUCGAGACCGGCAGCGACACCAGCUACUAUGAGAGGGAGACGUGGGACGAGUGGGAGAGUCGUUCCUCCCUCAGUCAGUUAGAAGAGGUUUGUAUUUAUUACUAUAUCUAUAGUUAUACGUGUUAAAGUUCCAAAGUUCUCGAGUGCUGUGUGCCUUUCAGAAAUAAAUAUCGAAGCUUCCGUGUUUCGGAAGUUACGUAAAACGGCUCGACAUAAAAAACACUUACAGGUUACUUACUCCUGAAAUCCAGACUUACAACAAGCUCACUUGGAGCAACGAGAUGCUUGUGCUGCGCGUCAAUCGAACUCGUGACACUCCGCGCAAAGCGGAACUCAUUUGUCGACUUUUCGCAUCCGGCUAUCCGAGUUCAGUGAAAAUUAUUCAAUGUACUGUAAUUUGAAAAACGGUUCUGGAAUCGGGUAUUACUAAGGCUCCGCUCUCUGUCCGUCAUGAUCACGGUAGAUAUUGAAAUUCUCGCAGAUGAUGUAUUUCUGUUGCCGAUAUAACAACCAAUACUUAA